rnacentral:rRNA from 1 species
UACGGAAGGCAGCAGUGGGGAAUAUUGCACAAUGGGCGCAAGCCUGAUGCAGCCAUGCCGCGUGUAUGAAAAAGGCCUUCGGGUUGUAAAGUACUUUCAGUCGUGAGGAAGGUGUUAAGGUUAAUAACCUUAGCAAUUGACGUUAGCGACAGAAGAAGCACCGGCUAACUCCGUGCCAGCAGCCGCGGUAAUACGGAGGGUGCGAGCGUUAAUCGGAAUUACUGGGCGUAAAGGGCACGCAGGCGGUUAAUUAAGUUGGAUGUGAAAUCCCCGGGCUUAACCUGGGAAUGGCAUUCAAGACUGGUUAGCUAGAGUCUUGUAGAGGGGGUAGAAUUCCAUGUGUAGCGGUGAAAUGCGUAGAGAUGUGGAGGAAUACCGGUGGCGAAGGCGGCCCCUGGGACAAAGGACUGACGCUCAUGUGCGAAAGCGUGGGGAGCAAAC